rnacentral:rRNA from 1 species
GGACUACACGGGUAUCUAAUCCUGUUUGCUCCCCACGCUUUCGUGCCUCAACGUCAGAAAUGGACCAAGAAGCUGCCUUCGCCAUCGGUGUUCCUCUCGAGAUCUACGCAUUUUACCGCUACUCCGAGAAUUCCACUUCUCUCUUCCAUCCUCUAGCACAUCAGUAUCUACUGCUGGUCCCCAGUUAGGCCAGGGAAUUUAACAGUUGACUUAAUAUGCCGUCUACGCACCCUUUACGCCCAAUAAUUCCGAAUAACGCUUGCACCCCUCGUAUUACCGCGGCUGCUGGCAC